ACCUUCAGCAGGGCUGCGGCUACCAUGUUCUCUCGCGCGGGCGUCGCUGGGCUGUCGGCCUGGACCUUGCAGCCGCAAUGGAUUCAAGUUCGAAAUAUGGCAACUUUGAAAGAUAUUACCAGGAGACUAAAGUCCAUCAAAAACAUCCAGAAAAUUACCAAGUCUAUGAAAAUGGUAGCAGCAGCAAAAUAUGCCCGAGCUGAGAGAGAGCUGAAACCAGCUCGAAUAUAUGGAUUGGGAUCUUUAGCUCUGUAUGAAAAAGCUGAUAUCAAGGGGCCUGAAGACAAGAAGAAACACCUCCUUAUUGGUGUGUCCUCAGAUCGAGGACUGUGUGGUGCUAUUCAUUCCUCCAUCGCUAAACAGAUGAAAAGCGAGGUUGCUACACUAACAGCAGCUGGGAAAGAAGUUAUGCUUGUUGGAGUUGGUGACAAAAUCAGAGGCAUACUUUAUAGGACUCAUUCUGACCAGUUUCUGGUGGCAUUCAAAGAAGUGGGAAGAAAGCCCCCCACUUUUGGAGAUGCGUCAGUCAUUGCCCUUGAAUUACUAAAUUCUGGAUAUGAAUUUGAUGAAGGCUCCAUCAUCUUUAAUAAAUUCAGGUCUGUCAUCUCCUAUAAGACAGAAG
rnacentral:sRNA from 1 species